rnacentral:rRNA from 1 species
UACGUAGGUGGCAAGCGUUGUCCGGAUUUAUUGGGCGUAAAGCGCGCGCGGGUGGUUCGUUGCGUCCGAGGUGAAAUCUCCCGGCUCAACUGGGAGGGGUCUUCGGAUACGGCCGGACUGGAGCCUUGCAGAGGUCGGUGGAAUUGCCGGUGUAGUGGUGAAAUGCGUAGAGAUCGGCAGGAACACCCAGGGGGAAACCGGCCGACUGGGCAAGUGCUGACGCUGAGGUGCGAGAGCGUGGGGAGCGAACCGG